rnacentral:rRNA from 1 species
AGAUUGAACGCUGGCGGCAUGCCUAACACAUGCAAGUCGAACGGGAGUAGCAAUACUCUAGUGGCGGACGGGUGAGGAAUACGUAGGAAUUUGCCCUUAAGUGGGGGAUAACCCGGGGAAACCCGGAUUAAUACCGCAUGACCUCGAAAGAGCAAAGUGGGGGAUCGCAAGACCUCACGCUUUUGGAGAAGCCUACGUCGGAUUAGCUAGUUGGUGAGGUAAUGGCUCACCAAGGCGACGAUCCGUAAACUGGUCUGAGAGGAUGAUCAGUCACACCGGAACUGAGACACGGUCCGGACUCCUACGGGAGGCAGCGAGUGGGGAAUAUU